rnacentral:rRNA from 1 species
GCGUGCGGCUGCUAUAAUGCAGUCGAGCGAACACUUCGGUGGUUAGCGGCGGACGGGUGAGUAACACGUGGGCAACCUGCCUGUAAGACUGGGAUAACUUCGGGAAACCGGAGCUAAUACCGGAUAAUCCUUUUCCUCUCAUGAGGAAAAGCUGAAAGUCGGUUUCGGCUGACACUUACAGAUGGGCCCGCGGCGCAUUAGCUAGUUGGUGAGGUAACGGCUCACCAAGGCGACGAUGCGUAGCCGACCUGAGAGGGUGAUCGGCCACACUGGGACUGAGACACGGCCCAGACUCCUACGGGAGGCAGCAGUAGGGAAUCUUCCACAAUGGACGAAAGUCUGAUGGAGCAACGCCGCGUGAGCGAUGAAGGCCUUCGGGUCGUAAAGCUCUGUUGUUAGGGAAGAACAAGUACCGGAGUAACUGCCGGUACCUUGACGGUACCUAACCAGAAAGCCACGGCUAACUACGUGCCAGCAGCCGCGGUAAUACGUAGGUGGCAAGCGUUGUCCGGAAUUAUUGGGCGUAAAGCGCGCGCAGGCGGUCCUUUAAGUCUGAUGUGAAAGCCCACGGCUCAACCGUGGAGGGUCAUUGGAAACUGGGGGACUUGAGUGCAGAAGAGGAAAGCGGAAUUCCACGUGUAGCGGUGAAAUGCGUAGAGAUGUGGAGGAACACCAGUGGCGAAGGCGGCUUUCUGGUCUGUAACUGACGCUGAGGCGCGAAAGCGUGGGGAGCAAACAGGAUUAGAUACCCUGGUAGUCCACGCCGUAAACGAUGAGUGCUAAGUGUUAGGGGGUUUCCGCCCCUUAGUGCUGCAGCUAACGCAUUAAGCACUCCGCCUGGGGAGUACGGCCGCAAGGCUGAACUCAAAGGAUUUGACGGGGGCCCGCACAAGCGGUGGAGCAUGUGGUUUAUUCGAAGCAACGCGAGACCUUACCAGGUCUUGACAUCCUCUGACACUCCUAGAGAUAGGACGUUCCCCUUCGGGGACAGAGUGACAGGUGGUGCAUG